rnacentral:rRNA from 1 species
CGCUAGUCACUCCUACGGGAGGCGAGCAGUGGGGAAUAUUGCACAAUGGGGGAAACCCUGAUGCAGCCAUGCCGCGUGUGUGAAGAAGGCCUUCGGGUUGUAAAGUACUUUCAGCAGUGAGGAAGGCAGGUACGUUAAUAGCGUGCUUGUUUGACGUUAGCUGCAGAAGAAGCACCGGCUAACUCCGUGCCAGCAGCCGCGGUAAUACGGAGGGUGCGAGCGUUAAUCGGAAUUACUGGGCGUAAAGCGCAUGCAGGUGGUUCGUUAAGUCAGAUGUGAAAGCCCGGGGCUCAACCUCGGAAUUGCAUUUGAAACUGGCGGACUAGAGUACUGUAGAGGGGGUAGAAUUUCAGGUGUAGCGGUGAAAAUGCGUAGAGAUCUGAAGGAAUACCGGUGGCGAAGGCGGCCCCCUCGGACAGAUACUGACACUCAGAUGCGAAAGCGUGGGGAGCAAACAGGAUUAGAUACCCUGGUAG